UACGUAGGGUGCAAGCGUUAAUCGGAAUUACUGGGCGUAAAGCGUGCGCAGGCGGUGAUGUAAGACAGAUGUGAAAUCCCCGGGCUCAACCUGGGAACUGCAUUUGUGACUGCAUCGCUGGAGUGCGGCAGAGGGGGAUGGAAUUCCGCGUGUAGCAGUGAAAUGCGUAAAUAUGCGGAGGAACACCGAUGGCGAAGGCAAUCCCCUGGGCCUGCACUGACGCUCAUGCACGAAAGCGUGGGGAGCAAACAGG
rnacentral:rRNA from 1 species